AAGAACUAUGAACUGAGGGAGACAACAUUUUUGGGCCAUCUCCGGCUACAAGGUUUAAAGGAUACUAUUCUAUACGAGCCAGACGAUGGAGAUGAUGAAGAGAAAGAUAGAAAUGCUGAGGCAUACGCAGAGCUGAUUCAGUUUCUCGAUGAUAAAGUUUGACGCUUGUAAUGAGAGAUGCAGCGGACAAUGGCCGAGAAGCACUGAAGAUUUUGAGAGACUACUAUGUUGGCAAAGGAAAACCCAGGGUACUUGGUGCCCUACGCACUCUGCGUAAUCUGCGUAUAGGGAGCCGCGUACCUGCCCCGGAAUGUGAGCCCACCUGUCUCGUGUGGCACGUGGACCUCCGGAUCAAAAAACCCAAACUCUCCCAUCAUCUCCUGGAACUCUCCAGGCCCAAGACCACCCACCCUCACUUCCAGAACAAGAGGCAGGUGGGGGCCCCGAACGCACAGGUCUUGGAGAAGGGGAUCUCUGAGACCUCCAGAGCACAGUCCAAGUCCCCCAGACUGGAGCACCUGUCUCUGCCCAGGCUGAGCCUCAGCCAGGUCUGCUACCAGCCAAGCCCACCCGAGGAGCCCAUCCGGACUGCAAGAGACUUGGCUUCCAUGGCAGCACAGAGGGCUAAAGCCUCCCCUCGCAUCGAGCGGCUGGCGACGCCCAAUCAACUCCCUGACGGGUACACCCCCCCUUCAUGAACAUCACUGGAGCCCAGGGCCCAGAUACCCAACCUGACCCCCCACUAGCACAAACUUAGCCCC
ensembl:lncRNA